rnacentral:piRNA from 1 species
UGCUAAUGCUGCCACCUGCAUUCUGGGA